GUGUUACUGUAACUGCUGCCUCUGCCGUUGCUGCUGCCUGGCAAUAUUCUCACUCUCAUUGAACGUCUCUGUUGCUUUUCGCUUCUUGUCGUUCUUUCGUGCGCCGACCGCGCUGCCGUCGCUGCUGCUGUUGCCUCUGCCUCUGCCUCUGCAUCGGUCUCUGUCUCUUUUCGUUCUCGGUCUCGGUCUCUGUAUCGGCCUCAGCUUCGUUCUCGUUCUCGGCCUCGGUCUCGGUCUCCGUCUCGGCAGCCGCCACUGACUUGUGUCAAACUGAACAGCAAAUAUUAUUUUUUUGGACACUUUGCUAUCAGGUCGACGUCGCGUCAACCAGACGUCCUGCUCCAUUCGCCAUCCAGCGAUUGAUAUCGUCUCAGCAUACAACCGGGCGGUCUCCCAGACGGACUCUGGCUCAAAGGAAAGAUGCACAAACUACAAACUGCAGCUGUGGGUUUUUUGGUUAUCCAUUGUUCCACACUGAUGUGUCGCAUUUGAAGUCCGACAACUGCGAGACACAGAGGCCAGAGAGAUCCGCCAUUGUCUCGGUUCAACUGGCGAGUGAUUCCAAUUGUGAAUAAUUGAAAUUGGCCGAAAGAAAGGCAAAGAAACGACAAAAUAACAAAAAUAAAUGAACAAAGCAAAACAAAAUGCCGAGCAAAGAUGAAGAAGGAACUGGCUGUAAAUCAACUGGAGCCGGUUCGUGUGCUGCCCAAAAUAACAGAAUUAAUUAUAAUAAUGACAAAGCAAGAACAACAACUGCGAACAAGGAGCCACCGCUCCAUUGCCUCUCUCCCUUCGGUCUGUCUCUCCCAACCAAUUGUGAAUACUCAUGUGAAUGUAAAUGUGAAUAUGAAUUACAUUUUCGCGUGUGCUUUUCGGGCCUACAACAUUUGUGUGUGCUUCGUGUGCUGUGCGUUGUGCUUUUCGUUUUGUGGUCUGUGGUCUGUGGCCCGCGGUCGCCGCUGGUCUCUCUUUGAUGGCCAACGCGGGACCCCGGAUGGGAGCCCGGUAUCCGGGGACCAUCUUGUCCACUUUUGCCGGUUUCGCGGUUCGUUCGUUGCUCGUCGCUUCCUCUCUGCUUGGCUGGGCGUAAAUUCAAUUAAAGUGAUUUGUUGCCGCAAUUUUUGACAUUCGGGACAUAAAUAGUGGCUCUAAUUAAUGGCACAAAACUUCUCGUGUAAACAAAGUCAAAGUCUGAGUCUGAGACGUCACAACGAACGCGGGUCGAAAACACUCUUAUUGCUAUACAAAAUGCCGUCGGCUGAAACCAAUGGCAGACAACCAGAAAACCUCCAUGCGGAAUAUGUAUGUGAGCAAAUGCGUGCUGUGAAUGAGAGAGCGCCGACGCUAACAAAUGGAAUGGAAUGACAGAAGAGAGCGCGUUGUCAUGGCAACGGCAGCGGCAGCCAUCUUGGAUGUGAGAGAGAGCGGCCAUGCUGCGGCCAUGCUGCUGGCGUGCUACCGACACUCACCUGCGACGGCGGCUGUUGUGAAGUUCUGUGACGUGACUGAAAUAUCGGAACAAAGAGCCGCAGCAGCAAACAGGCCAACGUUGUUUGUGCUUGUGCGGCAAUUUUCUGCCUGCCUGUCAGCAAUGCCGCAGUAACGGCGGUCGCGGCGACCGUUGAACGAGUGCGCCUGCGUUGUGCCCGGACCGCGACCUCAACUGGCGCAGGGAUGGAAUGGAUUGAAGCAGAGCUAGCAGCAGCAGCAGAGGCAGCGAAGCGACGUCGUCGAGUUGGAUUAUUUUGGAUUUUACAGUGACCCCCCGAAGUGAGAUCUGAAUGGUUGGCAGCUGUUGCAGAUCCUCGAAACACUUUGUGCAUGGAUACCUUUUACAAUUCUUUUUUUAAACAUUUUUUGUUCGUUUUCUAAUGUGGAUUUAGUCCAUAAAAAAUAGAAAAAAAACACUUCAGCACGUCAAAGGAUGCAACCUGUCGCAGUCAACGCGGAGUAUCGAGUGUCGAAGUCAGUUUGCAGUCAGUUUAAUGACUUUUAUGUAUUGUUCUGCGAUUUGCCGUCAUAGCCAACACCUAUACAUGCACACAAAUACCGAGACACUCACACACACUCAUUCACACACACUCAGUCACACACACGAUUUACGAUAGCAGACUUCUCUACAUCUCCCGGACUUCAGGAUCCCGUUCGAGUUCCAGCUGAUGCCUCCGAAUAGUGUUUUAUUGUGAUUUUGUUCAUUUUUUAUUAUUAUUUGCUCAUCUUCCCCUCUCCUUGUUCCCACUCUGUGUGUGUCUCUUUCUCGCACUCACCCAGUUUCAAUUUUAUUAGUUUAUUACGGUUAUUAUCUUUUAAUGACGCUCGCGAGUGCCGCCACCGACAUUGCUCCAAUCGCAUUGUUGUUGUUUUGCUUUGUUGUUGUUUUAUAUCGCACUCGAGUAGUUGUGGCUGUUGUUGUUGUUGUUGCUCAGUUGUUCAGCAACAAUAACGUGUGAAGUUGUUUUAUUAUUUGUUUUGAUUAUCAAAAUGGCCGGUUUGCAUUUUCCGGUCGUUGGUUGCUGCCCCUUCGCCCCUCCUCAAUGGCCACCACUCUCAUUCCCAUUCCCAUUCCCCCUGCAGGUGCCGUAAAUCACAGCAUGCCGGCAGUGCUCUGCACCCAAAGUGGCACUCAUUCACAGCACUCACAGCACUCACUUGCUACUCGUAUACGAGUAUGAACCAUAAACGCAAACCAAAGUGUGGCAAAAUGUUUAAUUUGGAAUUUAUGAGCAAUUAAUUUUAAAUACUUGCCAAAGGCAACCCCUCUC